AGAGUUUGAUCCUGGCUCAGAGUGAACGCUGGCGGCAGGCCUAACACAUGCAAGUCGAGCGGCAGCGGGUCGUAGCAAUACGAUGCCGGCGAGCGGCGGACGGGUGAGGAAUACAUCGGAAUCUACCCAGUCGUGGGGGAUAACGUAGGGAAACUUACGCUAAUACCGCAUACGACCUGAGGGUGAAAGCAGGGGACCGCAAGGCCUUGCGCGAUUGGAUGAGCCGAUGUCGGAUUAGCUAGUUGGUGAGGUAAAGGCUCACCAAGGCGACGAUCCGUAGCUGGUCUGAGAGGAUGAUCAGCCACACUGGAACUGAGACACGGUCCAGACUCCUACGGGAGGCAGCAGUGGGGAAUAUUGGACAAUGGGCGCAAGCCUGAUCCAGCCAUGCCGCGUGUGUGAAGAAGGCCUUCGGGUUGUAAAGCACUUUUGUCCGGGAAGAAAUCUUUCGACCUAAUACGUCGGGAGGAUGACGGUACCGGAAGAAUAAGCACCGGCUAACUUCGUGCCAGCAGCCGCGGUAAUACGAAGGGUGCAAGCGUUACUCGGAAUUACUGGGCGUAAGGCGUGCGUAGGUGGUUCGUUAAGUCUGCCGUGAAAGCCCCGGGCUCAACCUGGGAAUGGCGGUGGAUACUGGCGGACUAGAGUGCGGUAGAGGGUGGUGGAAUUCCCGGUGUAGCAGUGAAAUGCGUAGAGAUCGGGAGGAACAUCUGUGGCGAAGGCGGCCACCUGGACCAGCACUGACACUGAGGCACGAAAGCGUGGGGGAGCAAACAGGAUUAGAUACCCUGGUAGUCCAC
rnacentral:rRNA from 1 species